rnacentral:lncRNA from 1 species
AAAAUAGUGAAAACAGUAGUAAUAGUAAUAAGCUACAGACAUCCCUAUUCAGAUUCAGCAACACAAUCCCAGUUUCUCGAUAAUCAAUAAAUAAACAGAUUUACAUCAUAUAAAAAUUGAAUCUUGAGCAGUAGACGACGUCACUCUAGUAAUCCCUUGAAACCUCGGUUCCUGAAAUAGAACAAGUAGAGAUUCAUUAGUUUGUGAUGUUAAAGCUGAAAUAGAAAUUAGAUUGGAAGUUGCUGGAUAAGAUUUUGAAUUGGGAAAUAGAGAAGAGGGAAGGAAGAAGAAGAAGGCGGGAUUAGCAGUAGCAGCAGCAGCCGUGAGCCAACCACAGCAGAGGCACGCUGCGGUGGUGACCGCGGCGUUGCCCGCGCUAUGGCGGCCCGGUGGCUCUACAUAGAGAAGAGGGAGGUUGAGCGAGAGGUAGGGAUGGAGAUUGAGUGAGAGAUAGUGAGAUAGAGACAGAUAGCAGGAAGAAGGGAGAAAGGCAGAACGAGCUAGAGGGAGAGAGGAGCGGGGCAGGCGGCGGCGAGCACCGGCGCUGCAAGCGCCGUCGUGGCUUGCGGCGGCCGCCGCGUCCUGGACAGAGAAAGAGAGUGAGAGAUCGAGAGAGGGCAGAGAGAGAGGGAGUUCGAGGGAGAGAGCAGAGACAGAAGUAGAGAGAGAACAGGGACUUACCUGAGUCAGAAGAGGCGGCGGCGUGACAGAGAUGACGGCGGGGCGGCAGGCUUCGCCGGAGAGACGAAUUCCAGAGGGGAUGAAGAGAGGUAGAAACCCUAGGUAUUUUGAUUUUAUAAUUUGGGGAUUGAGUACUUAAGGGAAAAGAGAAAUGGAAAGAAAGGAAAGGGGGAGAGGAGAGAUCGACCUCGCCGCGCCGGAGGCGACGAAGGCCGGCGACGGUCGCCGGAGACAGGGAGAGAGAAAGAGAGACGACAGAGCUGUGAGAGAGAGGGAGAAGUAACGCAGAGAGAGAGAAUGUAUAUGUAUGUGUGCGUGAGGAAAUAAG